ensembl:rRNA 5S_rRNA 5S ribosomal RNA
AUAAGCAACCAUAUCACUCUGCAACUCACAAUUGGCAACCCACUGAAGCUAAGCAGGGGUGAGCCUGGUCCAGUACCUGGAUGGGAGACCUCCUGGGAAAAACUAAGGUUGCUGCUGGAA